GUCGAGAAUAAUUCACAAUGGACGAAAGUCUGAUGGUGCAACGCCGCGUGGAGGAUAAGGUCUUCGGAUUGUAAACUCCUGUCAUGCGUGAACAAGGUUGCUUGGUUAAUACCUGGGCAAAUUGAUGGUAACGCAAGAGGAAGAGACGGCUAACUCUGUGCCAGCAGCCGCGGUAAUACAGAGGUCUCAAGCGUUGUUCGGAAUCACUGGGCGUAAAGGGUGCGUAGGUGGCGUGGUAAGUCAGAUGUGAAAGCCCGGGGCUCAACCUCGGAACUGCAUCCGAUACUGCCAUGCUAGAGUACUGGAGAGGUGACUAGAAUUCUCGGUGUAGCAGUGAAAUGCGUAGAUAUCGAGAGGAAUACCAAAGGCGUAGGCAGGUCACUGGACAGUUACUGACACUGAGGCACGAAGGCCAGGGGAGCGAACGGGAUUAGAUACCCCUGUAGUCC
rnacentral:rRNA from 1 species